rnacentral:rRNA from 1 species
AGAGCGAACGCUGGCGGCAGGCCUAACACAUGCAAGUCGAGCGCCGUAGCAAUACGGAGCGGCAGACGGGAGAGUAACACGUGGGAACGUGCCCUUUGGUUCGGAACAACACAGGGAAACUUGUGCUAAUACCGGAUAAGCCCUUACGGGGAAAGAUUUAUCGCCAAAGGAUCGGCCCGCGUCUGAUUAGCUAGUUGGUGAGGUAACGGCUCACCAAGGCGACGAUCAGUAGCUGGUCUGAGAGGAUGAUCAGCCUCACUGGGACUGAGACACGGCCCAGACUCCUACGGGAGGCAGCAGUGGGGAAUAUUGGACAAUGGGCGCAAGCCUGAUCCAGCCAUGCCGCGUGGAUGAUGAAGGCCCUAGGGUUGUAAAGUCCUUUCGGCGGGGAAGAGUAAUGACGGUACCCGCGAGAAGAACGCCCCGGCUAACUUCGCGCCAGCAGCCGC